GUCCCUGCAGCGCUGUGGAUAGCGCGUUGGACUUCUUAUCCAAAGGUUGUGGGUUCGAAACCCACCUGGAAUA